UACGGAAGGCAGCAGUGGGGAAUAUUGCACAAUGGGCGCAAGCCUGAUGCAGCCAUGCCGCGUGUAUGAAGAAGGCCUUCGGGUUGUAAAGUACUUUCAGUCGUGAGGAAGGUGUUAAGGUUAAUAACCUUAGCAAUUGACGUUAGCGACAGAAGAAGCACCGGCUAACUCCGUGCCAGCAGCCGCGGUAAUACGGAGGGUGCGAGCGUUAAUCGGAAUUACUGGGCGUAAAGGGCACGCAGGCGGUUAAUUAAGUUGGAUGUGAAAUCCCCGGGCUUAACCUGGGAAUGGCAUUCAAGACUGGUUAGCUAGAGUCUUGUAGAGGGGGUAGAAUUCCAUGUGUAGCGGUGAAAUGCGUAGAGAUGUGGAGGAAUACCGGUGGGCGAAGGCGGGCCCCUGGGACAAAGACUGACGCUCAUGUGCGAAAGCGUGGGGAGCAAAC
rnacentral:rRNA from 1 species